rnacentral:rRNA from 1 species
CGUGUAGGCGGUCCGCUAAGUCUGAUGUGAAAGCCCGGGGCUCACCCCCGGAAGGGCAUUGGAAACUGGCGGACUCGAGUCCCGGAGAGGAAGGUGGAAUUCCUGGUGUAGCGGUGAAAUGCGUAGAUAUCAGGAGGAAUACCGGUGGCGAAGGCGGCCUUCUGGACGGUGACUGACGCUGAGACGCGAAAGCGUGGGGAGGCAAAC